rnacentral:rRNA from 2 species
GUCGAGCGCGGGAAGCGAGUGGAUCCCUUCGGGGUGAAGCUCGUGGAACGAGCGGCGGACGGGUGAGUAACACGUGGGCAACCUGCCUGUAAGAUCGGAAUAACCCCGGGAAACCGGGGCUAAUGCCGGGUAAUACUUUCUUUCGCAUGAAGGAAAGUUGAAAGAUGGCUUCUCGCUAUCACUUACAGAUGGGCCCGCGGCGCAUUAGCUAGUUGGUGAGGUAACGGCUCACCAAGGCGACGAUGCGUAGCCGACCUGAGAGGGUGAUCGGCCACACUGGGACUGAGACACGGCCCAGACUCCUACGGGAGGCAGCAGUAGGGAAUCUUCCGCAAUGGACGAAAGUCUGACGGAGCAACGCCGCGUGAACGAUGAAGGUCUUCGGAUCGUAAAGUUCUGUUGUUAGGGAAGAACAAGUACCGUUCGAACAGGGCGGUACCUUGACGGUACCUAACGAGGAAGCCCCGGCUAACUACGUGCCAGCAGCCGCGGUAAUACGUAGGGGGCAAG